rnacentral:other from 1 species
AGUGUUGUGUGAUCUUGCGCGAUAAAUGCUGACGUGAAAACGUUGCGUAUUGCUACAACACUUGGUUAGCUAUUUAGCUUUACUAAUCAAGACGCCGUCGUGCAGCCCACAAAAGUCUAGAUACGUCACAGGAGAGCAUACGCUAGGUCGCGUUGACUAUCCUUAUAUAUGACCUGCAAAUAUAAAC